rnacentral:rRNA from 1 species
AACGAACGCUGGCGGCAGGCCUAACACAUGCAAGUCGAACGCGCGUAGCAAUACGCGAGUGGCGCACGGGUGAGUAACACGUGGGAACCAACCCAGAGGUUCGGAAUAACCGCGGGAAACUGCGGCUAAUACCGGAUAUCCCCUACGGGGGAAAGAUUUAUCGCCUCUGGACGGGCCCGCGUCCGAUUAGCUAGUUGGUGAGGUAAUGGCUCACCAAGGCGACGAUCGGUAGCUGGUCUGAGAGGACGACCAGCCACACUGGAACUGAGACACGGUCCAGACUCCUACGGGAGGCAGCAGUGGGGAAUAUUGGGCAAUGGAGGCAACUCUGACCCAGCCAUGCCGCGUGGGUGACGAAGGUCUUCGGAUUGUAAAGACCCUUUCGGUCGGGGACGAUGAUGACGGUACCCGCAGAAGAA